CCCGAAUUAGCUCAGUGGUAGAGCAGCGAUUUUCAAAAUCGAUGGUCGAGGGUUCGAUCCCUUCAUUCGGGGCCA
rnacentral:tRNA from 1 species